GAUGAACGCUGGCUACAGGCUUAACACAUGCAAGUCGAGGGGAAACGGCAUUGAGUGCUUGCACUGAAUGGACGUCGACCGGCGCACGGGUGAGUAACGCGUAUCCAACCUUCCCGUUACUGCGGGAUAACCUGCCGAAAGGCAGACUAAUACCGCAUGUUCUUCGAUGACGGCAUCAGAUUCGAAGCAAAGAUCCGUCGGUAACGGAGGGGGAUGCGUCUGAUUAGCUAGUUGGCGGGGCGACGGCCCACCAAGGCGACGAUCAGUAGGGGUUCUGAGAGGAAGGUCCCCCACAUUGGAACUGAGACACGGUCCAAACUCCUACGGGAGGCAGCAGUGAGGAAUAUUGGUCAAUGGGCGGAAGCCUGAACCAGCCAAGUAGCGUGCAGGAGGACGGCCCUACGGGUUGUAAACUGCUUUUAUGCGGGGAUAAAGUGAGGGACGCGUCCCUUUUUGCAG
rnacentral:rRNA from 1 species